rnacentral:rRNA from 1 species
UACGUAGGGGGCUAGCGUUGUCCGGAAUCAUUGGGCGUAAAGCGCGUGUAGGCGGUUUGGUAAGUCCGCUGUGAAAGUCGGGGGCUCAACCCUCGAAUGCCGGUGGAUACUGUCGAACUAGAGUGCGGAAGAGGCGAGUGGAAUUCCUGGUGUAGCGGUGAAAUGCGCAGAUAUCAGGAGGAACACCAAUUGCGAAGGCAGCUCGCUGGGACGUAACUGACGCUGAGACGCGAAAGCGUGGGGGAGCAAACAGG